GAUGAACGCUGGCGGCAUGCCUAACACAUGCAAGUCGAGCGGGGGAAGGUAGCUUGCUACUGGACCUAGCGGCGGACGGGUGAGUAAUGCUUAGGAAUCUGCCUAUUAGUGGGGGACAACAUCUCGAAAGGGAUGCUAAUACCGCAUACGUCCUACGGGAGAAAGCAGGGGAUCUUCGGACCUUGCGCUAAUAGAUGAGCCUAAGUCGGAUUAGCUAGUUGGUGGGGUAAAGGCCUACCAAGGCGACGAUCUGUAGCGGGUCUGAGAGGAUGAUCCGCCACACUGGGACUGAGCCACGGCCCAGACUCCUACGGGAGGAAGCAGUGGGGAAUAUUGGACAAUGGGGGGAACCCUGAUCCAGCCAUGCCGCGUGUGUGAAGAAGGCCUUAUGGUUGUAAAGCACUUUAAGCGAGGAGGAGGCUACUCUAGUUAAUACCUAGGGAUAGUGGACGUUACUCGCAGAAUAAGCACCGGCUAACUCUGUGCCAGCCGCCGCCGUAA
rnacentral:rRNA from 1 species